GGUUAAUAGCAGGGGUAGCGCUGGGUACCGCGGUCCUGUUGAUCGUGGGCCUGGUUCUCCUCAUUCGCUGGCACAGAAGGAGAGGAAACAAGAGGCCAAAGGACCCCACAACCAUUGUACACACCAUACCUAACCAUGAUCCAACUACUACAAGGUUGAACUUGGGAAAGUUCCCUGGGUCUUCAAUAUCAUGAACAGAUGAAGAUUGGGAUAAACAAUUAGCAGAUGCACAUAAUAUGUUGGGGUCACAAAAUGGACACCACCACUGGUGACACCAGCUGAUGAGUAACUGGGUUCCUGU